rnacentral:tRNA from 2 species
GCCCAGAUGGCGGAAUUGGUAGACGCACUAGGUUCAGGUCCUAGCGCCCGCAAGGGUGUGGAGGUUCGAGUCCUCUUCUGGGCACCA